GCUAAGAGCGGUUCUGAUGGA
rnacentral:miRNA from 1 species